rnacentral:lncRNA from 1 species
GACGAUGGCGCCCUCUAGCGGCAGCAGGUAGGCAGUGGGGGUCCUGGGCGUGGCUGUGUGCCCGCGUUCUGGGAGGAUACCUGGCGCCGACCUUGAAGGGACCUGAACGUGAGAGGGAAAAACGCCCGUGAUGCCAAGGCUUGGGCAGCGGACAGCCAAAAUCCUGAAACCCCGAGAUGCUCCCUGUGAUUCACUUUCCAGAGGCCCCUCAAGGCCCCGACGCUGGCCCGGAGGGCGGUCGCUGACUAUCUUGAGACUGAAGCUCACUUUAGGAUCCUGGGCGUUCCUGUCAGUUUUUUUAUGAAUACAGGGAAAACCAGUGGCUUACUGACAGUUUAGAAACUCCCUGAGGAGGGCCGGGCGCGGUGGCUCGCGCCUGUAAUCCCAGCACUUUGGGAGGCCGAGGCGGGCGGAUCGCCUGAGGUCAGGAGUUCAAGAGUAGCCUGGCCAACAUGGUGAAACUACUAAAAAUACAAAAAAUAGUCUCUACCAAAAAUACAAAAAAUUAGCCGGGCGUGGUGGCGGGCACCUGUAGUCCCAGCUACUCAGGAAGGCUGAGACAAGAGAAUCGCUUGAACUCGGGAGGCGGAGGUUGCGGUGAGCCGAAAUCGUGCCAUUGCGCUCCAGCCUGGGCAACAAGAGUGAAACUCAGUCGCGAAAGAAAGGGAGAAAGGGAGAAAGAGAGGGAGGAAGGAAGGAAGGAAGAAAAGAGAAAGGAAGAGUCUCUGAGGAGCAAGCAAUUCCCUCAGCCAAAGAGCUUCUGCUCUCAAUUCUCGUUUGGUCUUGCUGAGCCACGGUUUGGGGUCUCCUAGAAGCAGCCAUCACAGGUAACCAGUUCUGCCGGCUCAGGAUGGCCCCUGCUGCCCUGACUCAGAGACACUUCCUGUAAGGCAGACAUCUCAUGCAGAGCAGAGGCCACUACAGUCAGAAGGAAGGGCCUGGUAGCCUCAGAGGCACAGCCAAGGGGCUGCAACAAUGGAAAGAAGAUAUUCCACAGGUCCAAGGAUGUGACAUGGAAGCACUCUCUGGGAUGUGGUGGACUCAAAGAGAUCCAUGCAGAUGUGGGUGCUCUCUCUCUCUCUUUCUCUGUUCUUCAUAGAGUGUGGCAUGGGUCCUCUCUGCGUGAAAAUAGGUGCCCAGAAUCACACACUUCCAUUCAAAAUAAAUUGUGUCAACCUGCUGAACCACAAAAUGAUUCCCUUGCCAUGGCCCCUAAAGAGCUCUGUGAUAAGAACUGUAUGCUAUUGAUGGAUCUGAAGUCUAAAUUUUGGCAAAAGCAAAGAACACGCCUGAACCAGUCAUUUCUGCAGGUGUUUCUCCUUAAGAUGAGUUUGAAGCCAAUUGGUUAUGUGAAGAAUAGCAAUCAGUUCUUUCUCUCACACUGGAGGAGGGAGAAGCAGAAACGAAAGUUCAAGGGUCAAGCCUCCCAAAAGGCUCUGUUGUAAUCCUAUGCGCUCUUUCAUCGUAUCUAGUGAUGAAUUUGGGUAACUGACACUUUACUCUUUGGCCAUCCAUCCUCGAACUUGAUAAGCAUUUUCAUUUAUGUAAGUUUACUUGUAAUUCUUCCAAAACUUAUCUUCACAUUUCCCAGCAAACUAAUUUCAGACAUUUUAUGUUUUUAUGAUUCUAUUGUGAAAGGAACCUCCAUUUCAAUAUACCCAUUGCAGGUAUAGAUUUUGUGCACUGCUUUAUGGUGUUGAUUUGUCCAUCUUUUUUAUUCUGCCUGGCUUAUUGUAAUCUUGAUUUUUUAAUUUUUCAAUUGGGUUUUUAAAGUAUGUUAAUGUUAAUAAAUGCAUUUUUAGGUUUCCUUUCCCAA